rnacentral:rRNA from 1 species
UAUUUCCUACGGGGCGCAGCAGUGGGGGAUAUUGCACAAUGGGGGGAACCCUGAUGCAGCGACGCCGCGUGGGUGAAGAAGCGCCUCGGCGCGUAAGGCCCUGUCAGCAGUGAAUUGACGGUACCUGCAAAGGAAGCACCGGCUAACUCCGUGCCAGCAGCCGCGGUAAUACGGAGGGUGCGAGCGUUAACCGGAAUUACUGGGCGUAAAGCGCUCGUAGGCGGUAUGUCAAGUCAAGGGUGAAAUCCCCGCGCUCAACGUGGGAACUGCCUUUGAAACUGGCAAACUGGGGUGUGUGAGAGGAU